GGUCAAGAGCGACCAGCGAUACGCCCUCCGCGUGCUGGUCCGGCAACCGCGCACACUCGCGCACGGUGCCCCCGGAGGAAGACCGGCCCGACGGCGACCGCCGUCGGGAAGUGCGAAGG
rnacentral:ncRNA from 2 species